ACAAUAAAUACAUAAAAAACAGAAAGAGUUCCUCGUUGUUACAGACAUUUCACAUCUGUGUCUAUUUUUGUCUCUGCAGACAUCAUCACUACAGGGUUUACUGGGAGAAUUUUAAACGUCCGUGGGACAGGGCCAGGAGACGUCUGUGGGACGAGCUGAGGAAAAAGCUGGGCUGACGACCUCCACCUCCGAGACAUCCGGAACCCCAUUAGCCGCCAGCCUCUCCUCCCCCCAAUGAGCCAAAUAAAG
rnacentral:lncRNA from 1 species